rnacentral:rRNA from 1 species
GAUGAACGCUGACAGCAUGCUUAACACAUGCAAGUCGAUCGGGGAGUGGUGCUUGCACCAUGGUCACCAUGGCGGACGGGCGAGUAACUCGUAAGGAACUUACCUGCGGGACCGGGAUAACAGCAGUAAACUGCUGACAAGACCGGCCAAGGACAUUAAUCUGCAUAGCUUAGUGAGGAAAGGAGACGCCUGCGGAGAGCCUUGAGACCUAUUAGCUAGUUGGAGGGGUAACGGCCCACCAAGGCGAAGAUAGGUAGCCGGUCUGAGAGGGUGGACGGCCACAAGGGGACUGAGGGACGCCGUAUACUCCUACGGGAGGCAGCAGAGAGGAAUACUGGACAAUGCGGGCAACGUUGAUACAGCAAUUCUGUGUGAACGAAGUCGGUUUUCGGAAUGUAAAGGGUUUUCAGCAGGGAAGAAGGAAGUGACGGUACCUGCACAAGAAGCGACGGCUAACUACGUG